rnacentral:rRNA from 1 species
GACGAACGCUGGCGGCGUGCUUAACACAUGCAAGUCGGGCGGUAAGGCCCUCUCGGGGGUACACGAGCGGCGAACGGGUGAGUAACACGUGGGUGACCUGCCCUCAGCUCUGGGAUAAGCCUGGGAAACUGGGUCUAAUACCGGAUAUGACUCCAUGACGCAUGUUGUGGGGUGGAAAGCCUUGUGCGGCUGAGGAUGGGCCCGCGGCCUAUCAGCUUGUUGGUGGGGGAUGGCCUACCAAGGCGACGACGGGUAGCCGGCCUGAGAGGGCGACCGGCCACACUGGGACUGAGACACGGCCCAGACUCCUACGGGAGGCAGCAGUGGGGAAUCUUGCGCAAUGGGCGAAAGCCUGACGCAGCGACGCCGCGUGAGGGAUGAC